CUCUCUCUUUCUUUCUUUCUUUCUUUCUUUCUUUCUUUCUUUCUAGAGGGUGCGGAUUUCUAGAAAAGACAAAAUUAUAGAGACAGAAAGCAGACCAGUGGUUGCCUGGGCUGGGAGUAGCAGUGACUGCACACGAGCAAAUGGGGUAAUGGAAGUGUUUGAAAACUGGUUCAUGUUGGUUGAACUGCUGUUUAAAUUCACUCAUCAAACAGUAUACUCCCUGUGGGUGAACUGUACGGCACAUAAAUUACUCUUUGAUAAAGCUGUUUAAAAUGUGCCUAUGUAUAUAAAGUGAAUUCUUUUAGGAUCACAGUUGGUGGGGGAUUUCCACCUUCUAGGAAACUCUAUAAAUUCAGUCCAUGGCUGUGAACUUACAAAAGUGGAGGGGGAGCAAAACUGGAAACCACGGCCUUUAUGUGACCUAGGAGAGGUCCACACUCUGUCUGAGCCUCAGUCUCACACUCUGUGACAUCCUGAGUUGACGUGCUUAGAGCGGGUGAGAGGUGCCGAGGUGGCAGAGUGUCUGCCAGGAUUCCCUCGCCCGGCUCUCCCGGUGCUGCAGAGGUUGUACCAGGUACCGCUGAGCUUUACCUUUGCCACAGAGUACCUCUGCCUUCCUGUCUUUGUGGAGAGAAUUUCCUCCCACCAGCCCUGAGAAGCAAACACAUGGCCAGGAACAAUAGGAAAAUCUGGGUUGGCCUGGCCCUAUUUCCCCCCAAGCCUGGCCCUCUCCCUUGACUUGGACCACAGACUGCUCCAGAGAAAAACUCCACACAGAGCAGAUGGCGUAAGCACCUACUGGGCAUUUAUAUACUUUGCAGGCUUUCCUCUCUCCUGGCAGCCCUGACAGGUGGCUUUACAGGAGAUCAGAGGUACAAAGAUACUUACCCAAGUUCACACGGCUGCCAAGUGUUGAGCUUCCUGCUCUUUCCUCUAGAAGCCACCUCCUGGAAAGAGGCCAGGCUCCUUGCUCAGGUGGAAGAUGCUGAGCACCAGAAAAUGAAAGUGUGUGGACCACAUGACACAGCCACACAGCCACUGACCUGUGGCAAAGGGAAAACACCAGGUAUGCCAGGAUCCCUGCUCGCUCACUCCUAGGAUCUACAGGCCAUCGUCUUCUACAGAUGAGGCAACCGGAGCACAGAGAGGCACCUACUGCACAGGCUUGAGGCAGAAGAUGAUGUGAUGAUGAAGCAGAGGAACAAAGAGAAAUUUGAAGAUGCUACACACUUGCUUUCAAGAUAGACAGGGUCAUGAGCCAAGAGAUGCAGGUGGCCUCUGGAAGCUGGAAAGGUGAGGGAACAGAUUCUCCCCUGGAGCCUCCAAGUGGAACCAGCACUGCCAACACCUUGACCUUAGCCCAGGGAAACUGAUUUUGGACUUCUGGCCUCCAGAGCUGAAAUAGAAUACAUUUGUGGUGACUUAAGGCACUACAUUUGUGGUGAUUUGUUACAGCAGCCACAGGAAACUAAUGCAAACACUAAACCAGCCAGUACCCUACCAACUGCUCAGCUGCAGCAUGUUCCUGACAACAGCUGACACUUGGCAGGCACUUCACCAAGCAGCAGGCAAUUACAAUCCAUCACAGGGGCAUAGAGAAGGGGCGCCUGGUUUGAAGAAUCAGGGAAGACUUCCUUCAGCCUAGGCUGGGAGGAAAGGGAGAGGGAGGGCGCUGGACAGAGGAGCAGUGAGUGCCAAGGCCAGGAGGUGAGAGAAAGCUCAGUCGUUUGAGGAACUGAAAGGAUUCAGUCUGGCCAGAGUUUGAGGGAGAAAUGAUAGAAGCCCUGUGGUGUAACGGUUAGGAGGCGGGCUUCCUGAGUGCUUGUGUGCGAGGCUCGGCCUUGCUGUCUACCCCCUGUGUGAUUUGGGGCAAGUAACUUGACCUCUCUGUGCCCCAGUUUCCUCACCUGCCUGAUGGUACUCACCUCAUAGGAUUCUGUGAGCUUUAAAUACCCCUACAGUGCUUGGAACAGUGUCUGGCACAGAGGAAGGCUCUCUGUGAGAAGAAGCCUGUCUCCCCGUAUCAACAGUGGGCUGAGUGUACUGUCCAGGGCUGCCCAAGGGGAGGCCCACAUCCCUGACUGUGAGAGCGGGUCAGGGUCACCAGAGCCAACCAGCAUCAGCCUUGGACUUGUUCUGCAAGUUCUGGGAAGGAGGUGCUCUCUCCUGGUUGAGCUGUGAGGAGGUCAGCCUGGAGCAGCUGAAGGGCAACUCCAUCACCACGUGGGAGGCCCUCAUCCAGGAAGGCAGAGCCCGGGAGGGAGUGAAGCAGAUCCUGAAGUUGUCACUGAGGGCCCUGGAUCCAGAUGUGCCUGAAGCACCCUCUCGGACUAUCUGGUUAUGGGGACAAUAAUUUCCCUUUUUGCUUCUGGAGUUUCAGCUAGGUUUGGUCGCCGGCAACCAGGAGAGUCCGGGUCGACAGGUGUGUGCUCAGCAAAUGUGCAUGAAGUGACCGAAUGAACCCUGUAAGUUUGGGGUCAUUGCAUGGUAGGGGCCUCACUUCUCUGUAGGAAUAUAACGACUGGCAGGGAUUCUGCAUUUGGCCUGGGAAAGGACCCUCCCUGUUCUCCUCAAUGCAGGGCCUGGCAUCCAAGUCUAGUUUCCUUCUGAAGAAGGAUGAGGCUCCACUCAGGGCAGGUAUGUGUCCGGCUGAAUCCUUGUUUUCCUCUCCCUGAACCAAACCUCCUCCAACAGGGAAGAUCUCAAGUUCUUCUUGCAACUGGGAAAUAGGAAAGGAAGCUGAGUGCUGAAGUGAGUGCUGAGUGCUGAAGCUGAGUGCUGGCCCACGGGGUAAGAUAAAGGCCUUUAUCAGUCCCAUUUUACAGACGAAGACACUGAGGCAGAGAGGUAAAGUUACCUGUCCUCAAAGCUGGGGCCCACCAAACAGAACGCAGAACUCUUUUCUUGUCCCCAAACAUUGCUUUCUCCUCCUUAGCCAUUUUCUAUCUGGUAUCCACAAAUUUUUUCUGGCUUUCUUGCCCUCUCAAGUCUGGACAUGCUGAUUACUUAAAAUUACUCAUUCCUUGUUCUUAGGUCAUAAAAAAGAAUGACCAGACCUGAGUCUGUCUCUGCUCCAUGCUGUACAAGCUGUGUGUCCUGGGGCCAAUGUCUUCACCCCUCUGAGCCUUGGUUUCUUCGGCCAUUGCUGCGGAGCUGGCAAAACCUGCUCUCAGCCUUUUUACAAGGACUAAGUGAAUUAAUACAUGUAAAUGCUUUAAACAGUAAGUCCUUUUAAAGUGCUCAAUAAAUAGCUUUUCUCAUUCAUUUCCUUCAGGAAUUAUAUUGAGUGGUGUUUCUUGGAAUGAAGUACAGGAAAAUG